UUUUGGGCUCUCAUUGUAACUACUCUCACCCUUCAACUAGCCAUUACGAGUGCACAAACACCAGCUGCCUCACCUUCCAGUACGCCAACCACCACCACCACUCCUCCACCUUCAACUUCGCCACCACCUACAACUUCCGCACCACCUCCUUCAACAACCCCUCCACCUACAACUUCAGCACCACCUCCUUCAACAGCAACGCCUCCACCUUCCACCACGCCCAUCGCGCCAGCUCAACCACCUGCAACAACUCCCCCUCCCACUGUUGCACCAGCUACAAGCCCAACUGUCCCACCGCCACAAACUCCACCACCUCAACCACCUCAAACUCCUCCAACCACAGCUCCAGCUCAACCGCCAGCAGUGCCACCACCAUCACCACCACCAGUAUCUCCUGCACCAGCACCAGCUCAGAAACCACCAGCUCCUGCACCAGUAAAGCUGCCCCCAGCACCUGCACCCAUUACUUUGCCACCGGCUCCUGCACCAGCUCCCACCAAGCACAAGAGAAGGCACAGGCACAGGCGCAGGAGACACCACCAUGCACCAGCACCAGCACCAACAGUUCCAAGCCCCCCAGCACCAC
rnacentral:lncRNA from 1 species